rnacentral:lncRNA from 1 species
CAAGUGCUUGAGAAGUCCUUGUGAUUGCCCAUUAAGAUCUAUUACGGCCCAGCAAACGGUGUUUCAGUAAAUGGUAGAGAGCCGAAAUGGCUUCUUAUGUGCAAAUCAUGGAUCAUUAUGGUGGUUUCCUCAUACCUACCUCUUAGUUGUGGCAUUUUUCUUUUUCUUUGUUUAUAUUGUAUUUAUUGCAUAUCUGAUCUAUAAGAUUGACACUUCUUGCCUGCUGCCAGGACCAAAUGACCCAAUAAGGCCUAGCAAGGCCACCAAGCCCAUAACUUUGAUCGCGGCCGGAUAUUUUCCACCAUAAUCUCGACCAUAGAAUUUCCCAUCCUAUUUUGUCCAAUUUAGAGGGUGAAUGAAGGGCUAAAUGACAUGUUAGUGGCCUAAUGCAACAUUGUUCACUAUCAAUUGAGCUCAAGAUGAGGAGGUAGCAUAUCAAUGAAUAGCUUAACGUACAAGUGAUUUGCCAAUAAUUCUAUCACUAAAUUUAGAUUGAUGACAUGCAACAAAAGAUUCAUUAAACUAGUAAAAGUGCUACACUUAGCUAGGG